rnacentral:rRNA from 1 species
UGGGGAAUAUUGGACAAUGGGGGCAACCCUGAUCCAGCAAUGCCGCGUGUGUGAAGAAGGUUUUCGGAUUGUAAAGCACUUUCGACGGGGACGAUGAUGACGGUACCCGUAGAAGAAGCCCCGGCUAACUUCGUGCCAGCAGCCGCGGUAAUACGAAGGGGGCUAGCGUUGCUCGGAAUGACUGGGCGUAAAGGGCGUGUAGGCGGUUUGUACAGUCAGAUGUGAAAAUCCCCGGGCUUAACCUGGGAGCUGCAUUUGAUACGUGCAGACUAGAGUGUGAGAGAGGGUUGUGGAAUUCCCAGUGUAGAGGUGAAAUUCGUAGAUAUUGGGAAGAACACCGGUGGCGAAGGCGGCAACCUGGCUCAUAACUGACGCUGAGGCGCGAAAGCGUGGGGAGCAAACAGGAUUAGAUACCCUGGUAGUCCACGCUGUAAACGAUGUGUGCUAGAUGUUGGGUAACUUAGUUAUUCAGUGUCGCAGUUAACGCGUUAAGCACACCGCCUGGGGAGUACGGCCGCAAGGUUGAA